rnacentral:rRNA from 1 species
GGGUUGUGAGGUUAAGCGACCAAGCGUACACGGUGGAUGCCCUGGCAGUCAGAGGCGAUGAAGGACGUGCUAAUCUGCGAAAAGCGCCGGUAAGGUGAUAUGAACCGUUAUAGCCGGCGAUGUCCGAAUGGGGAAACCCAGUGUGAUUCGUCACACUAUCAUUAACUGAAUCCAUAGGUUAAUGAGGCGAACCGGGGGAACUGAAACAUCUAAGUACCCCGAGGAAAAGAAAUCAACCGAGAUUCCCCCAGUAGCGGCGAGCGAACGGGGAGGAGCCCAGAGCCUGAAUCAGCAUGUGUGUUAGUGGAAGCGUCUGGAAAGGCGCGCGAUACAGGGUGAGAGCCCCGUACACAAAAGCGCACGUGCUGUGAGCUCGAUGAGUAGGGCGGGACACGUGGUAUCCUGUCUGAAUAUGGGGGGACCAUCCUCCAAGGCUAAAUACUCCUGACUGACCGAUAGUGAACCAGUACCGUGAGGGAAAGGCGAAAAGAACCCCGGCGAGGGGAGUGAAACAGAACCUGAAACCGUGUACGUACAAGCAGUGGGAGCCCCACCACUAAGCCAGUGGUGAACUCCACAUACGCAUCCUUUGCUGAGGAUACGGUUAACGGAGCGAAAGCGACG